rnacentral:ncRNA from 1 species
UAUGGCCGGUGCGGGAGUCCGCGCCGCGAACCUGCCGCUGUUUCUGCAGGCGGGGGUGAAAGAGGUCCAUAGCUCCGCUGGCCACUGGUUGCCGUCGGAAAUGCGCUUUCGUCAUCCGGGCGUUUCGAUGUCAGCCGAUCCCGAUCCCGAUGCCGAUGAAUACAGACGCUACGCCGUGAAUGGCGCAGCGGUGGCGGAGAUGAAAAGGAUUAUCUCCGCCUGGAGAAGUUAAACGGUUUUUUGCUGCACAUCAUGUCGCCCAAUAUGAUGAUUGCCCGUACCAGGCCCCUGCCCAUUAAACAGGGGCCUUUUUUU